rnacentral:rRNA from 1 species
GAUGAACGCUAGCGAUAGGCCUAACACAUGCAAGUCGAGGGGCAGCAUAGAGUAGCAAUACUUUGAUGGCGACCGGCGCACGGGUGAGUAACACGUAUGCAACCUACCUACAUCAGGGGAAUAACCCGGAGAAAUUCGGACUAAUACCGCAUAAUACAGGGAUGCCGCAUGGCAAUAUUUGUUAAAGAUUUAUCGGAUGUAGAUGGGCAUGCGUUCCAUUAGCUAGUUGGUGAGGUAACGGCUCACCAAGGCAACGAUGGAUAGGGGAACUGAGAGGUUUGUCCCCCACACUGGAACUGAGACACGGACCAGACUCCUACGGGAGGCAGCAGUGAGGAAUAUUGGUCAAUGGACGAGAGUCUGAACCAGCCAAAUCGCGUGAAGGAAGACUGCCCUACGGGUUGUAAACUUCUUUUGUACAGGAAUAAAAGACAUUACGUGUAAUGUAUUGCAUGUACUGUACGAAUAAGCAUCGGCUAACUCCGUGCCAGCCGCCGCCGUAA